rnacentral:rRNA from 1 species
GAUGAACGCUGGCGGCGUGCCUAAUACAUGCAAGUCGAGCGAACGGACGAGAAGCUUGCUUCUCUGAUGUUAGCGGCGGACGGGUGAGUAACACGUGGAUAACCUACCUAUAAGACUGGGAUAACUUCGGGAAACCGGAGCUAAUACCGGAUAAUAUUUUGAACCGCAUGGUUCAAAAGUGAAAGACGGUCUUGCUGUCACUUAUAGAUGGAUCCGCGCUGCAUUAGCUAGUUGGUAAGGUAACGGCUUACCAAGGCAACGAUGCAUAGCCGACCUGAGAGGGUGAUCGGCCACACUGGAACUGAGACACGGUCCAGACUCCUACGGGAGGCAGCAGUAGGGAAUCUUCCGCAGUGGCGAAAGCCUGACGGAGCAACGCCGCGUGAGUGAUGAAGGUCUUCGGAUCGUAAAACUCUGUUAUUAGGGAAGAACAUAUGUGUAAGUAACUGUGCACAUCUUGACGGUACCUAAUCAGAAAGCCACGGCUAACUACGUG